rnacentral:rRNA from 2 species
GAGUUUGAUCUUAGCUCAGAACGAACGCUGGCGGCAUGCCUAACACAUGCAAGUCGAACGAGACCUUCGGGUCUAGUGGCGCACGGGUGCGUAACGCGUGGGAAUCUGCCCUUGGGUUCGGGAUAACAGUUGGAAACGACUGCUAAUACCGGAUGAUGACUUCGGUCCAAAGAUUUAUCGCCCAGGGAUGAGCCCGCGUCGGAUUAGCUAGUUGGUGAGGUAAAGGCUCACCAAGGCGACGAUCCGUAGCUGGUCUGAGAGGAUGAUCAGCCACACUGGGACUGAGACACGGCCCAGACUCCUACGGGAGGCAGCAGUGGGGAAUAUUGGACAAUGGGCGAAAGCCUGAUCCAGCAAUGCCGCGUGAGUGAUGAAGGCCUUAGGGUUGUAAAGCUCUUUUACCCGGGAUGAUAAUGACAGUACCGGGAGAAUAAGCCCCGGCUAACUCCGUGCCAGCCGCCGCGGUAAC